ensembl:lncRNA
UGUUAACCCAUUUCCCUCACACCUUCCUAACUUAAUCUGCCUUUAAACCCAUUUCCCUCACACCUUCCUAACUUAAUCUGCCUGUUAACCCAUUUCCCUCACACCUUCCUAACUUAAUCUGCCUUUAAACCCAUUUCCCUCACACCUUCCUAACUUAAUCUGCCUUUAAACCCAUUUCCCUCACACCUUCCUAACUUAAUCUGCCUUUAAACCCAUUUCCCUCACACCUUCCUAACUUAAUCUGCCUUUAAACCCAUUUCCCUCACACCUACCUAAGAGGUUGAUUUAAUGUAGCACAACAGUGUAUUGAUGAGUUGAAGAGGUGAUUUAAUGUAGCACAACAGUGUAUUGAUGAGUUGAAGAGGUUGAUUUAAUGUAGCACAACAGUGUAUUGAUGAGUUUGUGUUAUGCCUGUUUAUCAGCAGUAAAUCAUUUGACCACACGCCUUGUGGCUUGAUAUUAUUCUCUUUUAUGUUUAACUUUCUAUAACUAAACUGUUAUGGGACUGUUCUAUUGACUGUAACUCUAAUACUAAUCACAUGUAUUGUAAAGGGAAAUGACAACAUGCUAUGAGUUGCAGCCUUUAGAAUAAUGACAACAUGCAAUGAGUUGCAGUCUUUAGAAUAAUGACAACAUGCAAUGAGUUGCAGUCUUUAGAAUAAUGUAAAACAUGUCCUUGACUCUGUCAAGUUGAUGAACGAAAGUUAGCCUGAAGACAAGAUUACAUUUACAAUAAUCUGAUGAGUGACAAUAUUAGGCCUUUCAGUUGUCAUCUAGUACAUGAAGAGAUGGGAGCAUCUAGUACAUGAAGAGAUGGGAGCAUCUAGUACAUGAAGAGAUGGGAGCAUCUAGAACAUAAAGAGAUGGGAGCAUCUAGUACAUGAAGAGAUGGGAGCAUCUAGUACAUGAAGAGAUGGGAGCAUCUAGUACAUGAAGAGAUGGG